CAAAGCAAGCUUUCCAAAGGGCUCCAUGCGUGGGGUUCUCUUUGGGCAGGGAAAGCCUUCCAAGAUCUGACUCCAGAACAACUUCAGACGUCAACACGCGAAGCUGCCUCGGUCCCCGCUCCUGCAGCGGUCUGGGCAGGCAGGUGGCUCCGUGGGGGUUAAGAACAAAGCACAGCGGCAGCACUGAACCUUCUGUCCUUUUUACACAACGCUCUCAUUGCAAAGAAGCCAUAAAGCAGAGCUAUUUUAACUCUUCUUUACAGCAGAGAGAAGCAUGGGAGGGACUCAGAGCAAGGAGAGUUGAUCCUCGCACCUGAAACACCACCACUUGAUCCUUCACCAACCACCAGCCAGGCAGAAGGACUUUGGGUUUUAUCCCAGGUCACUGCUGGAGCAUGGAAACAUCUUCCACAUCGGAUGUUUGGGGGUCACACACCCUCUGGGCUUGCUGCAGGGAUGAAGGUCCCUUUAUUUGCGAUAAGAGCAUGGAGAAGGGUUGGUUUGUUCCUUAAUGGCGAUCACCAGGGAGAUUUGCCCAGCCUCACCCAGAAGAUUGCUCCCCUCAUGCCUGAAGUACAGCUGAGGCUGUGCUUGUCCUCCAACUGCCCCAAGAAGAGAGGCAGCACUUAUCUGCGCUUCACAGACAGCUCACAGGAGGCAGAGAGACAAAGCCCCAGCUUCCCUCUGCUUCCCCAGAGAGCCAGGGUUGGGGAUUUCAUGGUGUCCAGGCACCUGAACCUGAGUCCAAGAGUCCUGCACAGAGCUCGGCCUCAAGGUGCUCACCGAGGCAUCCAUCCCCACGACCACGUCCUGGCUCUCCCAGCCAGGAGCUGUGGAUCAGCACAGCUGGAUAUCACUUGUCCCCAGCCCUGCGACAUCCACCAGCACAGCUCCCUUCGCCCAGAUCCCCCCAGCCGCUUUGCAGACUGCCAACUGAAAGGCACGUGGACCACGAAAAGCUACAGUCGAGCUGAAUCCCCAAACGAGGGAGGAGAUCCACGCCUGACAAACUUGCAUCCGAAGCAUCUCCCUCCAGCAGGAGCUGGGGCACGGGGGCAGCCAGGCACUCUGUGCUGCGAAGUGACAUGCAUCAAAGUAACAUGUGGCACAGUCACAGCCAUUCUAUUAAUUUAAGUUAAUUUCCUGCAGUUCUGUCUUAGUUUUCCAGCAGAUUCGGGACUUAAAGGUUAAAGCGUAACCUUGUCUCGGUAGCUUGCUAUUCGCUCCAUGCAAAUGUCUACCUACAGCCUGGUAAUUACAUGCAUUUCCAAAGAGCCAAUCCGCCGUCAGCCUGACAGAUACUGAUCUUCCCGUUUUAUUUUUAGCUCUGUGCUUCCCCCUCUAGAUGCAAAAAAAAAUUCUGUUUGUUCCAUCUCU